UACGUAGGGUGCAAGCGUUGUCCGGAAUUUAUUGGGCGUAAAGAGCUCGUAGGCGGUUCGGUAAGUCGGGUGUGAAACCUCCAGGCUCAACCUGGAGAUGCCACCCGAUACUGCUGUGACUCGAGUCCGGUAGGGGAGCGUGGAAUUCCUGGUGUAGCGGUGAAAUGCGUAGAGAUCAGGAGGAACACCCGUGGCGAAGGCGGCUCUCUGGUACGUGACUGACGCUGAAGACGCGAAAAGCCGUGGGGGAGCAAACAGG
rnacentral:rRNA from 1 species